UACGUAGGGGGCAAGCGUUGUCCGGAUUCACUGGGUGUAAAGGGUGCUCAGGCGGACUUGUAAGUCAGAGGUGAAACUCCGAAGCUUAACUUCGGAACUGCCUUUGAUACUGCAAGUCUCGAGUACGGGAGAGGGUAAUGGAAUAACAGGUGUAGCAGUGAAAUGCGUAGAUAUCUGUUAGAACACCAAUGGCGAAGGCAGUUGCCUGGCCCGUUACGGACGCUAAAGCACGAAAGUGUGGGUAGCAAACAGG
rnacentral:rRNA from 1 species